GUUAUUUUAGUUUAUAAAGAACUUUUGCUUUGCAAACAAAAUGAAGAUUUCAAACAUCUAAUUAACA
rnacentral:tRNA from 1 species